CACGUAGGGGGCAAGCGUUGUCCGGAUUUAUUGGGCGUAAAGAGCGUGUAGGCGGCCAGAUAGGUCUGCUGUGAAAACUCGAGGCUCAACCUUGAGCUGUCGGCGGAAACCAUUUGGCUAGAGUCCGGAAGAGGAGAGUGGAAUUCCUGGUGUAGCGGUGAAAUGCGCAGAUAUCAGGAAGAACACCUAUGGCGAAGGCAGCUCUCUGGGACGGUACUGACGCUGAGACGCGAAAGCGUGGGGAGCGAACAGG
rnacentral:rRNA from 1 species